GAUGAACGCUGGCGGCGGGCCUAAUACAUGCAAGUCGAGCGGACGGACGGGGAGCUUGCUUCUCUGAUGUUAGCGGCGGGCGGGUGAGUAACACGUGGAUAACCGACCUAUAAGACUGGGAUCACUUCGGGAAACCGGAUCUCAUACCGGCUAAUAUUUUGAACCGCAUGGUUCAAAAGUGAAAGACGGUCUUGCUGUCACUUAUAGAUGGAUCCGCGCUGCAUUAGCUAGUUGGUACGGUAACGGCUUACCAAGGCAACGAUGCAUAGCCGACCUGAGAGGGUGAUCGGCCACACUGGAACUGAGACACGGUCCAGACUCCUACGGGAGGCAGCAGUAGGGAAUCUUCCGCAAUGGGCGAAAGCCUGACGGAGCAACGCCGCGUGAGUGAUGAAGGUCUUCGGAUCGUAAAACUCUGUUAGUAGGGAAGAACAUAUGUGUAAGUAACUGUGCACAUCUUGACGGUACCUAAUCAGAAAGCCACGGCUAACUACGUG
rnacentral:rRNA from 1 species